GAUGAACGCUGGCGGCGUGCCUAAUACAUGCAAGUCGAGCGAACGGACGAGAAGCUUGCUUCUCUGAUGUUAGCGGCGGACGGGGGAGUAACACGUGGAUAACCUACCUAUAAGACUGGGAUAACUUCGGGAAACCGGAGCUAAUACCGGAUAAUAUUUUGAACCGCAUGGUUCAAAAGUGAAAGACGGUCUUGCUGUCACUUAUAGAUGGAUCCGCGCUGCAUUAGCUAGUUGGUAAGGUAACGGCUUACGAAGGCAACGAUGCAUAGCCGACCUGAGAGGGUGAUCGGCCACACUGGAACUGAGACACGGUCCAGACUCCUACGGGAGGCAGCAGUAGGGAAUCUUCCGCAAUGGGCGAAAGCCUGACGGAGCAACGCCGCGUGAGUGAUGAAGGUCUUCGGAUCGUAAAACUCUGUUAUUAGGGAAGAACAUAUGUGUAAGUAACUGUGCACAUCUUGACGGUACCUAAUCAGAAAGCCACGGCUAACUACGUG
rnacentral:rRNA from 1 species